CUCUCUCCUUUUCAAAUAUCUCUAUUGUCAGAGCUUGUUCCACCGCACCAUAGGCGGUAGAGCUGAGCUAACACGGCCACUAACAUUACCAAAACAACCCUUUUAACCUCUUCUAUCUCAACCUCACCUCAAUUUCAACAAAUUCUCGAUGCCUUCUCCAAAUCGAAACAAAAGGCCUAAGAACCCUAAACUCAAAAAUUUAAAUUAAAUCAAAACG
rnacentral:lncRNA from 1 species